rnacentral:misc_RNA from 1 species
UUGAUUAAUCAACUCGAAUUGAAAGAUAACCGCUUGCAUUGGACUCCUAUAAAUACUGGGGACUCCUAAACUGUUGUCAGGAUCGAACAGGAAAGACAAUAGUUUCCCUCUUGAAUAUUCAACUCACGGCGUUAUGUAUGUUCGAUUUACUGUCGUUUAUGCUUGUAUGAAAAAGAUCCGAAAUGUACAUAGGCAACCGUGACUGAACGGUCACGCAAUAUUUUAGAUGGUCGAAAAAGACGAGUCAGGUUUGUUUUCUAACUAAUAUGUAUGCGGCGGAACAAUUCUUUGUUAGUCAUCUCCAUAGCAAUACUUCUUUUGUAUUCAGUUGAGAAGCCUCGUUUUUAUGCAAAUUAUUCGGAUUCAAACGUUUAUGGAAACAAUACGAGAAUGUUAGCGUGACGUAAGCUUGACUAAAUUUUAAGAUUGAGACAAAAUGAUCAGUUCACAGGUUUCUUGGUCGUAAAUUGAGAUUUUACUCUGGAGAUAACGAACACAGAGGAAAAUCAUCCGCAACUUAAACGUGAAGAAUCCAAGUGACGAAGGCUUAGUCGAGAGAAUGAUUACGACCUUCGGUGGAUGUGCACGCUUGAUUUUUUGUGCAAUGUUUGCAGCAG